rnacentral:rRNA from 1 species
UAACGUAGACGAAAGUUACGCUAAUACCGCAUACGUCCUGGAGGGAAGAAAGGCGGGGGAUCGUAAGACCUUGCGCUAUUAGAUGAGCUUGCGUCCGAUUAGCUAGUUGGUGGGGUAAAGGCCUACCAAGGCGACGAUCGGUAACUGGUCUGAGAGGAUGAUCAGUCACACUGGAACUGAGACACGGUCUAGACUCCUACGGGAGGCAGCAGUGGGGAAUAUUGGACAAUGGGCGGAAGCCUGAUCCAGCCAUGCCGCGUGAAGGACGAAGGCGCUCAGCGUUGUAAACUUCUUUUGGAUGGGAACAAUAACUCCGACUUGUCGGAACUUGAGGGUACCAUCAGAAUAAGCACCGGCUAACUCCGUG